GACGAACGCUGGCGGCGUGCUUAACACAUGCAAGUCGAACGAAGUGGCGAACGGUUGAGUAAUACGUGGGUAACCUGCCCUCCUUUUUGGGAUAAGCCUUGGAAACGGGGUCUAAUACCUAAUAAAGGGGGGUGGGGUCGCGGCCUAUCAGCUUGUUGGGGGGUGGAUGGCUUACCAAGGCGGUGACGGGUAGCCGGCAUGAGAGGGUGACCGGCGACAUGGGGACGGAGCUACGUCCCACGCGCGUACGGGAGGGAGAAGUGGGGGAUAUUGCACAAUGGGCGAAAGCCUGAUGCAGCGACGCUGCGUGGGGGAUGCAGGCUUUCGGGUUGUAAACCUCUUUCGCUACCGAACGGGUAGGUGGAGAAGAAGCGCCGGCUAACUACGUGCCAGCAGCCGCGGUAAUAC
rnacentral:rRNA from 1 species